GAAUGAUUAGCUCAGUUGGGAGAGCAACGGAUUUUUAAUCCGUGGGGCAUGGGUUCGAGUCCCAUAUCGUUCA
rnacentral:tRNA from 1 species